rnacentral:rRNA from 1 species
UACGUAGGUGGCAAGCGUUGUCCGGAAUUAUUGGGGCGUAAGCGCGCGCAGGUGGUUUCUUAAGUCUGAUGUGAAAGCCCACGGCUCAACCGUGGAGGGUCAUUGGAAACUGGGGAACUUGAGUGCAGAAGAGGAAAGUGGAAUUCCAAGUGUAGCGGUGAAAUGCGUAGAGAUUUGGAAGGAACACCAGUGGCGAAGGCGACUUUCUGGUCUGUAACUGACACUGAGGCGCGAAAGCGUGGGAGCGAACAGG